rnacentral:rRNA from 1 species
UACGUAGGGGGCGAGCGUUGUCCGGAUUCAUUGGGCGUAAAGCGCGCGUAGGCGGCCCCGCAAGUCGGCCGUGAAAUCUCCCAGCUCAACUGGGAGGGGUCGGGCGAGACUGCGGGGCUCGAGGUGGGUAGAGGGCAGUGGAAUUCCGGGUGUAGUGGUGGAAUGCGUAGAGAUCCGGAGGAACACCAGUGGCGAAGGCGGCUGCCUGGGCCUGGCCUGACGCUGAGGCGCGAAAGCGUGGGGAGCAAACAGG